CCGAGUGGAGGCAAGUCGAGCGAAUCUUUGGGAGCUUGCCCCUGAAGGUUAGUGGCGGACGGGUGAGAAACAAAUGGGCAACCUGCCUAUAAGACUGGGAUAACUUCGGGAAACCGGAGCUAAUACCGGAUAAUUCUUUUCUACACAUGUAGAAAAGCUAAAAGACGGUUUACGCUGUCACUUAUAGAUGGGCCCGCGGCGCAUUAGCUAGUUGGUGAGGUAACGGCUCACCAAGGCCACGAUGCGUAGCCGACCUGAGAGGGUGAUCGGCCACACUGGGACUGAGACACGGCCCAG
rnacentral:misc_RNA from 1 species